GACGAACGCUGGCGGCGUGCUUAACACAUGCAGGUCGAACGGAAAGACCCUGCUUUUGUGGUGUGCUCGAUUGGCGAACGGGUGAGUAACACGUGAGUAACCUGCCCUUGACUUUCGGAUAACUUCACGAAACUGGGGCUAAUACCGGAUAGGAGCUCCUGCUGCAUGGUGGGGGUUGGAAAGUUUCGGCGGUUGGGGAUGGACUGGCGGCUUAUCGGCUUGUUGGUGGGGUAGUGGCUUACCAAGGCUUUGACGGGUAGCCGGCCUGAGAGGGUGACCGGCCACAUUGGGACUGAGAUACGGAGCAGACGCGUACGGGAGGCAGUAGUGGGGAAUAUUGCACAAUGAGAGGAAGCCUGAUGCGGCGACGCCGCGUGCGGGAUGACGGCCUUCGGGUUGUAAACCGCUUUCGCCUGUGACGAAGCGUGAGUGACGGUAAUGGGUAAAGAAGCACCGGCUAACUACGUG
rnacentral:rRNA from 1 species